GUGGGGAAUCUUGCGCAAUGGGCGAAAGCCUGACGCAGCCAUGCCGCGUGAAUGAUGAAGGUCUUAGGAUUGUAAAAUUCUUUCACCGGGGACGAUAAUGACGGUACCCGGAGAAGAAGCUCCGGCUAACUUCGUGCCAGCAGCCGCGGUAAUACGAAGGGGGCUAGCGUUGCGCGGAAUUACUGGGCGUAAAGGGCGCGUAGGCGGACAGCUUAGUCAGAGGUGAAAGCCCAGGGCUCAACCUUGGAAUUGCCUUUGAUACUGGCUGUCUUGAGUUUGGGAGAGGUGAGUGGAACUCCGAGUGUAGAGGUGAAAUUCGUAGAGAUUCGGAAGAACACCAGUGGCGAAGGCGACUCACUGGCCCAAUACUGACGCUGAGGCGCGAAAGCGUGGGGAGCAAACAGGAUUAGAAACCCUAGUAGUCC
rnacentral:rRNA from 1 species